CGAGCUUCUAUAAUAAGCGGUCUCCUUUCGGCCUUCUACAAGAACUAGACUCCGUCCAAACUUUCAUAGUGGGUGGAUAUCGGACGAGCUUCUACGAUGGACGGACUCCGACAGUCGGAUCUCUACAACGAUCGAUCACCCCCGGUGUCUGCUGAACCUCCCCAACGCCAUCCGAGGUCCACCGUUGGCCAACCCUCCGCCAGAUUU
rnacentral:lncRNA from 1 species